CUCAUAGUGAAUUUAUUUACCAAAAGAAGGAGAAGUAUGUGACAGAUCCCAAAUACAACAAACAAGAGCUUAAGAGAAUCCUAUCAUCUUCCACCUCCAGCACUUCUGUUCCAUGACAAGUACGAUGGAUCUCCCAGUUGCCUGAAACACAUAGAUAAAUCGUAACAUAAAUUUUUGUCAUUGCUAUAUGGACUCUUAAAGUCUCAAAAACCAGUGCAUCUUUCUAACGAAAUGUGGCAUUGUAGAGAAUGUUAUAAUAUACCUUGGUUUUGCUAGAUACAAGACGGAGAAGGAAACAGCCAAGAACAAGCAUAUGCUACCAACAGUCAAAUACGCAAUCCCAAGGAAAUCAUUCCUUCCACCGAGCCAGCUAGUGGUAGAUAGCACAAGCUUCUUUUUCC
rnacentral:lncRNA from 1 species